AGGACGAACGCUGGCGGCGUGCUUAGCACAUGCAAGUCGAGCGGAAAGGCCUUUCGGGGUACUCGAGCGGCGAACGGGUGAGUAACACGUGAGUAAUCUGCCCAUCGCUUCAGGAUAGCCAUCGGAAACGGUGAUUAAUACUGGAUAUGACAUUCCUUCGCAUGUUGGGGUGUGGAAAGUUUUUUCGGCGGUGGAUGUGCUCGCGGCCUAUCAGCUUGUUGGUGGGGUAAUGGCCUACCAAGGCGACGACGGGUAGCCGGCCUGAGAGGGUGACCGGCACACUGGGACUGAGACACGGCCCAGACUCCGUACGGGAGGCAGCAGGUGGGGAAUACUUGACACAAGUGGGCGACAAGCCUAGAUGACAGCAACGCCGCGUGGAGGACGAGGCUGGUCGUAACUCUUAGUAGGAAGAG
rnacentral:rRNA from 1 species